GGGUUGUGAGGUUAAGCGACUAAGCGUACACGGUGGAUGCCCUGGCAGUCAGAGGCGAUGAAGGACGUGCUAAUCUGCGAUAAGCGUCGGUAAGGUGAUAUGAACCGUUAUAACCGGCGAUUUCCGAAUGGGGAAACCCAGUGUGUUUCGACACACUAUCAUUAACUGAAUCCAUAGGUUAAUGAGGCGAACCGGGGGAACUGAAACAUCUAAGUACCCCGAGGAAAAGAAAUCAACCGAGAUUCCCCCAGUAGCGGCGAGCGAACGGGGAGCAGCCCAGAGCCUGAAUCAGUGUGUGUGUUAGUGGAAGCGUCUGGAAAGGCGCGCGAUACAGGGUGACAGCCCCGUACACAAAAAUGCACAUGCUGUGAGCUCGAUGAGUAGGGCGGGACACGUGGUAUCCUGUCUGAAUAUGGGGGGACCAUCCUCCAAGGCUAAAUACUCCUGACUGACCGAUAGUGAACCAGUACCGUGAGGGAAAGGCGAAAAGAACCCGGCGAGGGAGUGAAAAGAACCUGAAACCGUGUACGUACAAGCAGUGGGAGCACGCUUAGGCGUGUGACUGCGUACCUUUUGUAUAAUGGGUCAGCGACUUAUAUUCUGUAGCAAGGUUAACCGAAUAGGGGAGCCGAAGGGAAACCGAGUCUUAACUGGGCGUUAAGUUGCAGGGUAUAGACCCGAAACCCGGUGAUCUAGCCAUGGGCAGGUUGAAGGUUGGGUAACACUAACUGGAGGACCGAACCGACUAAUGUUGAAAAAUUAGCGGAUGACUUGUGGCUGGGGUGAAAGGCCAAUCAAACCGGGAGAUAGCUGGUUCUCCCCGAAAGCUAUUUAGGUAGCGCCUCGUGAAUUCAUCUCCGGGGGUAGAGCACUGUUUCGGCAAGGGGGUCAUCCCGACUUACCAACCCGAUGCAAACUGCGAAUACCGGAGAAUGUUAUCACGGGAGACACACGGCGGGUGCUAACGUCCGUCGUGAAGAGGGAAACAACCCAGACCGCCAGCUAAGGUCCCAAAGUCAUGGUUAAGUGGGAAACGAUGUGGGAAGGCCCAGACAGCCAGGAUGUUGGCUUAGAAGCAGCCAUCAUUUAAAGAAAGCGUAAUAGCUCACUGGUCGAGUCGGCCUGCGCGGAAGAUGUAACGGGGCUAAACCAUGCACCGAAGCUGCGGCAGCGACGCUGAUGCGUUGUUGGGUAGGGGAGCGUUCUGUAAGCCUGCGAAGGUGUGCUGUGAGGCAUGCUGGAGGUAUCAGAAGUGCGAAUGCUGACAUAAGUAACGAUAAAGCGGGUGAAAAGCCCGCUCGCCGGAAGACCAAGGGUUCCUGUCCAACGUUAAUCGGGGCAGGGUGAGUCGACCCUAAGGCGAGGCCGAAAGGCGUAGUCGAUGGGAAACAGGUUAAUAUUCCUGUACUUGGUGUUACUGCGAAGGGGGGACGGAGAAGGCUAUGUUGGCCGGGCGACGGUUGUCCCGGUUUAAGCGUGUAGGCUGGUUUUCCAGGCAAAUCCGGAAAAUCAAGGCUGAGGCGUGAUGACGAGGCACUACGGUGCUGAAGCAACAAAUGCCCUGCUUCCAGGAAAAGCCUCUAAGCAUCAGGUAACAUCAAAUCGUACCCCAAACCGACACAGGUGGUCAGGUAGAGAAUACCAAGGCGCUUGAGAGAACUCGGGUGAAGGAACUAGGCAAAAUGGUGCCGUAACUUCGGGAGAAGGCACGCUGAUAUGUAGGUGAAGUCCCUCGCGGAUGGAGCUGAAAUCAGUCGAAGAUACCAGCUGGCUGCAACUGUUUAUUAAAAACACAGCACUGUGCAAACACGAAAGUGGACGUAUACGGUGUGACGCCUGCCCGGUGCCGGAAGGUUAAUUGAUGGGGUCAGCGCAAGCGAAGCUCUUGAUCGAAGCCCCGGUAAACGGCGGCCGUAACUAUAACGGUCCUAAGGUAGCGAAAUUCCUUGUCGGGUAAGUUCCGACCUGCACGAAUGGCGUAAUGAUGGCCAGGCUGUCUCCACCCGAGACUCAGUGAAAUUGAACUCGCUGUGAAGAUGCAGUGUACCCGCGGCAAGACGGAAAGACCCCGUGAACCUUUACUAUAGCUUGACACUGAACAUUGAGCCUUGAUGUGUAGGAUAGGUGGGAGGCUUGGAAGUGUGGACGCCAGUCUGCAUGGAGCCGACCUUGAAAUACCACCCUUUAAUGUUUGAUGUUCUAACGUUGACCCGUAAUCCGGGUUGCGGACAGUGUCUGGUGGGUAGUUUGACUGGGGCGGUCUCCUCCUAAAGAGUAACGGAGGAGCACGAAGGUUGGCUAAUCCUGGUCGGACAUCAGGAGGUUAGUGCAAUGGCAUAAGCCAGCUUGACUGCGAGCGUGACGGCGCGAGCAGGUGCGAAAGCAGGUCAUAGUGAUCCGGUGGUUCUGAAUGGAAGGGCCAUCGCUCAACGGAUAAAAGGUACUCCGGGGAUAACAGGCUGAUACCGCCCAAGAGUUCAUAUCGACGGCGGUGUUUGGCACCUCGAUGUCGGCUCAUCACAUCCUGGGGCUGAAGUAGGUCCCAAGGGUAUGGCUGUUCGCCAUUUAAAGUGGUACGCGAGCUGGGUUUAGAACGUCGUGAGACAGUUCGGUCCCUAUCUGCCGUGGGCGCUGGAGAACUGAGGGGGGCUGCUCCUAGUACGAGAGGACCGGAGUGGACGCAUCACUGGUGUUCGGGUUGUCAUGCCAAUGGCACUGCCCGGUAGCUAAAUGCGGAAGAGAUAAGUGCUGAAAGCAUCUAAGCACGAAACUUGCCC
rnacentral:rRNA from 1 species